UGAUGCAACUAAGGAUAUGAGACGUAUGUUGAUGAUAUCGGUUGGAUCUAAAUGGAAAGAAUGGAAGCAUGAAACAAAAAUGAUUGGUUAUGAGCCAUACAACAACGAUAUCGAGCGCUUAGCUAAACGUCCAGACAAGGUAGAAGAAGACCAGUGGCGUGCAUUAGUUCAUUAUUGGAGUUCUAAUGAAGCAAAGGAAAAGAGCGAGAGGAACAAAGAAAGUCGAAGGAAGCUGAGUAUGCCACACACAUCAGGAAGAAAAAGUCAUUCUCAAAUUAUAGAUGAUAUGACAAAGAAGAAUGGUGUAAAAUCAAGUCGUAUCGAGGUAUUCAAAUAAACACAUACGAGAAAGAAUAAACAACUAGUAAAUGAGAUAGCUGAUGAAACUAUGAAAGAAAUGGAUGAACUUGCUAAGGUGUAUCCCGAGUUAAAUGUUCCUGGAAGUGCUCCCAAUGAUGUGUAUGCACAGGUCAGGGGACCAGACACUCAUGGAAAUGUUCGAACUUUAGGAAAAGGAGCAGCUCCAAGUUUUAUUUAUGGCCCUGCAUAUAAGCGAUCCCAGGCUGAGCAAAGAGAUUUUGAUAGAAGAGUUGAGAUGGAAGAUGAAAAAGCUACCUCCUCUAUGAGAAUUGCGAUAGAAGAAAAAUUGUCUGAAGCAAAAAAAGAAAUAGAAGCGAUGGAGAAAAAGUUAUUUGAAGCAAAAGAAGAAAUAAAAGCGAUGGGGGAAAAAUGUUAGAAGCAACAAAGGAUAUGGAUUCAAAAAUAGACGAUAAAGUAAAGGUUUCUUAUAACCCAAUGGACGAUCACCAACAAUCACAAUCACCUGUUUCACUUGUUCAUACAAAGAUGGUUAACAUAAUCAAGAAGAUUGGAGUUAGUGAAGUUGGCACAAAGAAAAAGAAGCGGCAUUCGUGAAGGAAGUGAUGUCAAUUACUAGCAGUGAAAAGCUUGACUUGUGGAGAGUUGGUUUUAUAAGGUUUACUCUAGAAGUUGAGGAAAAUGAAUUCGAAUUAGGAGUGAUCUUAAAGUACUUACACAUUGAAAUUACUAUCUUUUAUGAUUUAGUUAGAUUUGGGUUUUACGUGAGAACAAA